rnacentral:rRNA from 1 species
AGAGUUUGAUCCUGGCUCAGAUUGAACGCUGGCGGCAGGCCUAACACAUGCAAGUCGAACGGUAACAGGAAGCAGCUUGCUGCUUUGCUGACGAGUGGCGGACGGGUGAGUAAUAUCUGGGAAACUGCCUGAUGGAGGGGGAUAACUACUGGAAACGGUAGCUAAUACCGCAUAACGUCGCAAGACCAAAGAGGGGGACCUUCGGGCCUCUUGCCAUCGGAUGUGCCCAGAUGGGAUUAGCUAGUAGGUGGGGUAACGGCUCACCUAGGCGACGAUCCCUAGCUGGUCUGAGAGGAUGACCAGCCACACUGGAACUGAGACACGGUCCAGACUCCUACGGGAGGCAGCAGUGGGGAAUAUUGCACAAUGGGCGCAAGCCUGAU